UCAGACCCUAGCAGUCGACGCCUGACUACCCGAGCGCCGAUCGCAUCGAGCCCUUCUUCCUCUCCCUUUUCUUGUCUCUUCCUUGUUUUUCCUUUCUGUCUCUCUUUCCUUUUUUUCCUUUGCUUACCCUCAGAUCAAGCGUCACCUCCCAGAAGCCUUCCUAGUUCCCGUCCCAUGGGAGUUCUCGCCCUUACCAUCUUGCCCCUCAGUGUGCACACUUCUUUAACAACAGUUAACACUUUGUAUCAUUUAACUACUUGUCAGAUUCCUUACCAGAGUGGGACUUCUUUGGGGAGCCUAGACUUAGUUUUGGAUCCUCAACUUCUGGAACAGCGCAGGGCACACAGUAGACGCUCAGCAGGCAUCUCCUUUCCCUUUAGAGAUGCCUUUCUCCUUUCCUUUCCCUUUCUCCUUUCCCCCUUUAGAACGCGCUUCUUUUCACUCUCUUGCCAUCUCCCUUAUGUCUCAUUUCAAUUCACCCAUUUCCCUAAAGAUGUUUUAAAAUCUAUUGCUUCUGGAAUUCUAGCUCCACACCGUACCAAAGACAUGAAGUUACAUCCAGACCUUAUAUUACCUUUCUUUUGCUAUAAAAGAUAAAGUGUUUUUUAAAAAUUUCGUGCUUGAAAAAUUUUAAUCCAAAAGUAACUAUUAUAAUUUACAAUUACCUAUGAUUUCUCAGCAUCUGUAAAUGAUCAGACAUUCUUGUGAAAUAAGAAACCUAAUCUCAAAUUGCUACAAAAUGUAAAAUGUGUAUAAAAUCCUAGUUUAACGUGUAAUGAAAUUGAUAUGUUAAUUUGAAGUUACUUAAACAUUUAUCAGUUUUGUAAUUUUUAUAUUUUGGGAUACAUACAUACACACACACACACACACACACACACACACAAUCUUUGAAAGCUUGUAGGCUUUAUACCUUCAGCACUGGGGCAAUAUGCCCCAUAUACAAAAUGGCCCUGUCUUUUCUUGCAGGUGGAAUAAAGAAGAGAGCUCACAGACUUGAACUGACAAGCCAUCAGGACAAACAUAUUGAGCAGGUGUGUGAAGCAGGCCUCACCAGUCAGAGGUGCACAUUUUCAGAAGCUGGCAAUGCCAUUGACGGUGUUGGAUGAGACAUGCAGCUCUCUGGGCAGUAAGUGGCAGGGGUUCUCACAGUGUGGCAGGGCUGCCCCACUGUACCCACCACUGUAUCAGGCGCAAGGCCGCUGUCAACAGCCCAGCUUCUAGGAGCACCCGAAUCUUAAAAGACUCCAUUCGUGUGUCCUUUACACUUGCAAUCCUGGCAUAAUUAGAAAUAACUCCACUUUCCCUCUCAAAUGAGGAGAUAAAAUAUGUAGCCAUCCCACCCCAUAUGUUUUAAUAAAUUCAUUUUCUAUUUAA